ACUUGUCAUGACAAGUGCGUCGUAUCCACCUACACGAGUACUCGCAGUAAACAUCGACUAGUGACUUAUAUCAUAUAUACAGAACGGAUUAUCUAACAUGUAAAGUGUUGGUGAUGAUCUUCUGAUGUUCCUUAUGUUCUUGACAAAUCGACAGCGAGAGGGAAAGUUUUUGUGAUUAAGGUUUCUUGAAAUGUGUCGAAUUAUAUUUCUCCCUCUGGAAAGCUACAAGAACGCCGUGAGCAUACCGGAAACACAGAACAUAUAGGCUUGUCAACACAGGGAACACCUAUACACAUCCGUGAAAAUGUCUUUCUUAAGAAGGCUGCAAGACGGUAACGCAGUUACGCACCAACACGAUGGACCCCCUUGCACACCAGUGGAAACGCCAGUUUUUAGAGAGCUACGGGAAGGCAGGGGUGCAAGUGACAACGGAUCUAGACGAGAGCUACAGGAAGGCAGGGAUGCAAGUGACACCGGACCUAGACGAGAGCUACGGGAAGGCAGGGGUGCAAGUGACAACGGAUCUAGACGAGAGCUACAGGAAGGCAGGGAUGCAAGUGACACCGGACCUAGACGAGAGCUACGGGAAGGCAGGGGUGCAAGUGACAACGGAUCUAGACGAGAGCUGCAGGAAAGCAGGGGUGCAAGUGACAACGGAUCUAGACGAGAGCUGCAGGAAAGCAGGGAUGCAAGCGACACCGGACCUAGACGAGAGCUACGGGAAGGCAGUGAUGCAAGUGACACCGGACCUAGACGGGAGCAGCAACGUGAUGAGGCUUCUGACAGAACAGCAAGGCGAAUGUUUGAAGAACGCAGGAAGAUUGCCGAAAGCAAAGCCAGGCGGCGAUUACGCACACAGCGGACGUCACGGGAAAUAACUCCCCUUCUUUUGAAACACAAACGUGUCAUUGUUGGUACUGCCGUUGCAGUCGGUGCUGUUGUUGCACUGGCUGCCGUCGUAGGUAUUCUAGCCAGUAGAAACACUAAACCGAUAACAGCAACAACGACAACGACAUCAACAACUACAACGUUUCUGCUUCCAUCUCUGUCAAUGCAAAAUGUGACCUUCUUUGAGGGAGAAGAGGAUCUGUAUCUCCUGUGCACGAUAUCUGGUGACGAAGAAAUAUCCGAGGUCUUAUUUUUCAAAGAUGACGCUCAGCUGAAGGAUGGGUAUAGUAUUGACGUCAAUGGGAGGCAAUAUGCCCUGACAAAGAAAGGAGCCACGUGCUCGGACUCGGGAAAGUAUAUGUGUCGGGCGACUGGGGAGUUUGGAACCAUCUACACAGCAUCCACGGUAAAUAUAUCUGCGAAGCCAUGUAAACCUACGCUAAAAGAUGCAUGGCAGAUCAUUUUGAACAACAUUUCAAGUAAUCCAAACAGUAUGAAUCAACAGGGAUUUGAGGUGCCACAAGCGUGUAAUGGAACUUUGGUCGACGCUGAGAGAUGCUGUUACCUCAUAGACAAUGGGGGGAUAACUCUGCAUCUGAAAGGAUGUGAGAACUUCACCUUCACGGCAGACGUGUCUCCCUGUGACUGUACGGCUGACCGUGUGGCAGUCCCCAGACCCACCACAUACCCCGACAACUGUAACCUGUACUACACGUGUAGUGGAGGUGUCAAACAGGACGCCACGUGUACCGGAAGUGACUUCACUGCCGACCCCAGCAAGCAGGCGUGUACCGCCAAUCCAGAUGACAGCUAUUGUGCCAAGGUCAAAGCAGGUGAAAUCAAGGCAUGCUCAUCGCCCGCAGGAUAACACAGAGUGACACAGAGUGAGACAGAGUGACACAGAGUGACACAGAGUGAGAUAGAGUGACAAAGAGUGACAAAGAGUGACACAAGCUAACACAGACUGACACAGAGUGAGACAGGGUAACACAGAGUGACACAGAGUGAGAUAGAGUGACACAGAGUGACACAGAGUGAGAUAGAGUGACAAAGAGUGACACAGGCUAACACAGACUGACACAGAGUGAGACAGGGUAACACAGACUGACACAGGUUAACACAGAGUGAGACAGGUUAACACAGAGUGACACAGAGUGAGACAGGGUAACACAGAGUAACACAGAGUGAGAUAGAGUGACACAGAGUGACACAGAGUGACACAAAGCGAGAUAGAGUGACAAAGAGUGACACAGGCUAACACAGAGUGACACAGAGUGAGACAGGGUAACACAGACUGACACAGGCUAACACAGAGUGAGACAGGUUAACACAGACUGACACAGAGUGAGACAGGGUAACACAGAGUGAGAUAGAGUGACACAGAGUGACACAGAGUGACACAGGCUAACACAGACUGACACAGAGUGAGACAGGUUAACACAGAGUGACACAGAGUGAGAUAGAGUGACACAGAGUGACACAGAGUGAGAUAGAGUGACAAAGAGUGACACAGGCUAACACAGAGUGACACAGAGUGAGACAGGGUAACACAGACUGACACAGAGUGAGACAGGUUAACACAGAGUGACACAGAGUGAGACAGGUUAACACAGAGUGACACAGAGUGAGAUAGAGUGACACAGAGUGACACAGAGUGAGAUAGAGUGACAAAGAGUGACACAGGCUAACACAGAGUGACACAGAGUGAGACAGGGUAACACAGACUGACACAGGUUAACACAGACUGACACAGAGUGAGACAGGGUAACACGGACUGACACAGGUUAACACAGAGUGAGACAGGUUAACACAGAGUGACACAGAGUGAGACAGGUUAACACAGAGUGACACAGAGUGAGACAGGUUAACACAGAGCGACACAGAGUGAGACAGGUUAACACAGACUGACACAGAGUGAGACAGGGUAACACAGACUGACACAGGUUAACACAGAGUGAGACAGGUUAACACAGAGUGACACAGAGUGAGACAGGUUAACACAGAGUGACACAGGCUAACACCGUCUUACACAGAGUGGGACAGGUUAACACAGAGUGACACAGAGUGAGACGUCCAACUAGCGUCAGAUCAGAUGUGAACACACCUAUAGCAUUACCAUGGUUGACAUCCAAGCACACACACGUGACAACACUCAUACGCAAUGUUUACAGGUGGCAUAUUUAUUAUCAUGUCGUAUUGUUGGUUUACAAAACUAAUAUCACUUUAUGAUGGAGAUUAUGAUGAUGUUGAUAAUAACAAUAAUAAUAAUAAUAAUCAAAUGUGAUUUUGCAUCAAAAUUUAAAUAUGAAAUGUAGAUUAUGCAAAGUAGAAUAGCAAUUGGUACUAUUGUCAAUAAACGGUUUCACAAUG
rnacentral:misc_RNA from 1 species